rnacentral:lncRNA from 1 species
UUCGAUUGUGUGUUGUUCAAUCGGCCCUCACCCCCAACAUAUAUAAGAGGCGGCUGGACUUCCUGUACAAGUAAAGGAUUCAUCUAGGCUUUCCUUACAAGAAAAAUUACAUCAAUUCACGUCCUAGAGUCCUAGUUCUAUUCCAACUCGGAUCCAGUCUGAAUCUGGCCCAACUUCUGUCUUCCUCCUUGUGCAGGCCGCCGAGCCUCCAUAUGACCUCCAAAAGCAAAGUUUACCAUCUUGACGAUACGCACAACUUCUGUAUUGAACACUUCUUCAUCCGAGAUCAUCUUGAUAAACUUUUGGGCACAUGUUCAGUUUCACUCGGAUUUGAGCUCAUCCACUCGGAUUUUAGAGUCUUUCACUCGGAUGGUCCGACUGGACUUUUUCACUCGGAUGACUAUAUUUUCACUCGGAAGACAAUCAAUCGGUAGGUUUUCACUCGACCUUUUACUCGAUCGGUAGGUUUUCACUCGACCUUUUACUCGAUCGGUAGGUUUUCACUCGACCUUUUACUCGAUCGGUAGGUUUUCACUCGACCUUUUACUCGAUCGGUAGGUUUUCACUCGACCUUUUACUCGAUCGGUAGGUUUUCACUCGGAUGGUAAGCUUUUCACUCGACCAAAAACAUAGCCUGAUCUUGAUUUGUCUCCCCAAGUCUCAUACGACCUCGGAUUGAGACGAAUUAUAUAUGAAACUCGAUCGGCUCGACGAGACAAAACUUUUUCGUGUUGAAGGUUUUUAGAUCCAAUGCCGUCUUGAAGGCCGAAUUGCUCGCGCGACCCAUCAGACAUGGCGUCUGGUACUUCGCGCCAUAUUUCCACUCAGCUUCGGCCCGCAGUGUAUUGCCUCUAACUUUUGCAUAUGAACUCGGAUUAAGAUGAUUUAUAUAUCAAAAUCGAUCGCCUCGACAAGACGAAGACAAAUCCUUUAGAGUACUCCUUCAUCCGAGGUCGUCUUGAAGGCAUGGUCGGCCGAAAACCACACAGAAUGUUGAAUUUUGUCACUCGGAGUACAACUUCGGCCACCGAGAUAAGGUCAAAUGGCGAUAAGUUAAACAUCAAAGUUAUUCCACUCGGCAACCUGAAACUUUGCAUGCCGAAAACUCUUUUACUUGAGGCCAUCUUACUUGCCUUUUGUACCUUGCCAAAAUCCGAUGUCAACACAUGACCCCCUGUUUUUCGGCAAAGCUUGCACGCCGAAAAAUAAUAUGCAUGGUGUUUGUUUUAAGGACGAUGUCAAAAUUAUUUUCCUCAGGGCGAUAAUUAUGUAUCAGCCAUGUUUGUGCUAAGGGUGAUAAUCGUAUAUUGGCCAUUGCCUACUCAGACUCCCUGCCACACACUCGGGUGGUACUUCUUCAAAUAUUUUCCGUUGAGAGCUCGAGGUAACAAUGCCCCUUGUAUUGAUUCCACCAAAUAUGAAUUUCCAGGAACAACCCUUGUAAUCCUAAAAGGACCUUCCCAACUUGGAGACCACUUCCCGAAUUUUCUAUCUCUUGAACCAAUCGGCAGAAUCACUUUCCAGACGAGUUCACCAACUUGAAAAUGCUUCAACUUAACUUUCUUAUUGUAAGCUCUUGCAACCCUCAACUUGUCUCUCUCUAUGGACUCCAAAGCAACCAAACGUUUAUCGGCAACUUCAUCAAUAUUGUCCAUCAUCAAGUUAUAAAAGUCUACUGCCGAUAAAUCAUUUUGUUUGGCUAUUCUCAAAGCAUUCAAAUUUACUUCUACUGGUAAAACAGCCUCUUGACCAUAUACUAGCUCAUAUGGAGUUACCUUCGUAGCACCAUGCCUUGAAAUUCUAUGUGCCCAUAAAGCUUCAGACAACAACUCAUGCCAUCUCCUCGGAUUAUCCUCAAUCUUCUUCUUGAUGAGCUUGAUUAAAAUUUUAUUGCUAGACUCGGCUUGUCCAUUAGCUUGAGCAUAAUAUGGAGAGGAAUUGAGUAACAUUAUAUUAUAAGAUUCGGCAAACUAUCUGACUUGGUGUGACAUAAAAGAUGAACCUUGAUCUGUAGUUAAUGUUUGAGGAAUACCGAAUCUAUGAAUAAUGUGUUCGGUUAUGAAUUGAAUUACCUCCAUAUGUGUCAUGUUCUUGAGAGGUACUGCUUCAGACCAUUUAGUGAAAUAAUUAGUUGCCACCAAUACGAACCGAUGCCCUUUUGAGGAAGACGGGUGAAUUUGUCCAAUGAAAUCUAAACCCCAACCUCUGAAAGGCCACGGUUUGAUAAUACGAUGUAACAUAGCAGCAGGAGCCAAUUGAAUAUCACCAAACUUUUGACAAGCUUCACACCCUUUAUAAUAUCUGAAGCAAUCACUAAUCAUAGUCGGCCAAUAAAACCCAGCACGUCGCAAUAACCAUUUCAUCUUGGGAGCCGACUGGUGAGUGCCACAAAUACCUUCAUGUACUUCUCCCAUAGCAACUCUUGCCUGGUCCUCAUCCAAACAUUUUAGAAGAACAUCAUCGACUGUUCGGCGAUAAAGACCAUCAUCUCUCAUUGUAUACUUGAAAGCCAUACGCCGAACAGCCCUGUCCACCCUUUCACUCGGAUUGCACAAGUAAUCAAUAAUGGGCUUUCUCCAGUCGGAAUUAUCACCUGCACUAGAUUUUUUGUUAAUGGCCGAAUUAGUGGGUUCAGGUUCGGCAACUCCCAUAUUGGCAAGACAAGACAUCGGUCUUUGAGAGAUAUGAAACAUGCCAUGAUCAACAUGAUAUCCAGAUGCUUGCUGUGCCAACUCAUUUGCUUUCCAGUUGUCAUGUCUAGAUAUAUGUGCAAUGCUAAAACAAUCCAAAGUAGAAAUUAUAUCUAGACAUUUAUCAAGAUAAACAUUAAGUGAUUCGUCAAAACACUAAAAGACUCUGGAUAUUUGCUGCACCACUAGUAACGAAUCACCGUAAGCCUCAAUAUGUGUAACACCUAUAGCAAGUAACAUCUCUAGACCGAAUAACAAUGCUUCAUAUUCGGCUUGAUUGUUUGUGCAAAAAUAUUCUAAGCGGCAUGAGGCUUCAAAAACAGCACCAUGAGGAGAUAUAUAAACAAUACCAACACCUUGGCCAUUGCUACAAACUGAACCAUCAAAGUACAAUCUCCAUGGCACUAAUGAAACAAGGUUCAUAUCAACAUCAUGCUUGUCAUUAAUCCGAUGUUCAACAAUGAAAUUAGCAACAAUUUGGCCUUUCAUGGAUUUUAGAGAUUCGUAAGCCAAAUCAUACUCAAUCAAAGCAUAAGCCCACUUGCCAAUUCUACCACUAAGAAUUGGCCUAUGCAACAUGUACUUAAUGACAUCAGUUUGACAAGCUACUACACAAACACUCGGCACUAGGUAAUGUCUCAAUUUUGUGCAAGCGUAAUAUAAGCAUAGACAUAGUUUUUCAAUAAAUGUAUACCUUGUCUCAGCGUCCAAUAAACGUCUGCUCAAAUAUGUAAUGGCAUGCUCUUUUCCUUCGGUAUCUUGAGUCAAAACAGCACCAAUAACACCUUCCUCUGCUGCGAUAUAAAGUUUAAAAGGCUCUCUAUGCUUGGGUGCUUUCAUCACCGGAGGAGUGCACAAAUAAUUCUUGAUCAUAUCAAAGGCUUCUUGCUGUUUUGCCCCCCAAGUGAAAUCAACAUCAUUCUUUAACCGAAGGAUAGGAGUAAAUGCAUCAACUUUCCCUGACAGAUUAGCUAUGAACCUUCUCAAAUAAUUAACCUUGCCAAGGAACUUUUGCAUAUCUUUCUUGCAUGUUGGAGCCUCCACUUUCUGUAUGGCCUCUAUCUUUUUGGGAUCUAUUUCGAUGCCAUCUUCAUGAAUAAUGAAACCCAAAAAUUUGCCAGCUGACACACCGAAUGCACACUUCAAAGGAUUCAUCUUCAGUCCAUACUUUUUCAUUCUUUCAAAAGCUAAAUGCAAAUCGGCCAAGUGAGAUUCAAAAGCAUCCGAUUUGACAACAAUAUCAUCAAUAUAAACUUCAAGUAUGACACCGAGUAAAUCAUGAAAAAUCAAAUUCAUAGCCCUUUGAUAUGUGGCCCCAGCAUUUUUCAAUCCGAAUGUCAUCACUGUCCACUCGAAUAAACCAAGGAAACCAGGACAUCGGAAAGCUGUUUUGUACAUGUCCUCUUCGGCCAUAAAAAUUUGAUUGUAUCCGGCAUUACCAUCUAGAAAGCUAAUAACCUUAUGUCCAGAAGCAUCAUUAAUAAGCAUAUCGGCUAUUGGCAUGGGAUAUUCAUCUUUGGGUGUAGCCCUAUUCACAUCUCUGAAGUCAAUGCACACCCUCAACUUGCCGGAACCCUUCUUCUCCACUGGGACAAUGUUAGAAAUCCACUCGGCAUACCUGCAAGGUCGAAUGAAAUUAGCUUCAAGCAGUCGACCGAUCUCUUCCUUGAUCCGGUCAUAGGUUUUCGGAUUAAACUUUCUGGCGACUGUUUGUAAGGUCUAAAACCGGCCUUUAUAGGCAACCGACGGUCCACUAGCUCUCGGCUUAACCCUGGCAUCUCAUGAUAUUCCCAUGCAAAGCAACAAACAUAUUCUUUCAAUACCUCGAUUAAUCUAGCUUUACAAUCGGCUUUCAGAUUUUUGUUUAUAAAUGUAGGUCGACUGACUGAUCCGUCUCCGAUAUCUACCUCUUCUAACGGAUCGGCCGAUCUAAAACCUUGUCCAAGUUUAUCCAUGUCAUCCAACUCCUCAAUAGACUCAUACAUAUCGUUCUCGCUGGACCGAUAUUUUGCAAGACAUUUUUGUAACCACUCGGAAUUAGGAUCCAUUUAAACAUAUCAUACCUUGGAGCCGAUUGCAUUCAGUCGGCUUUAAAGACACGGGCACAAAACCAUUCUUGGUCGCACUGAGAAAAUCAAACUCUGACAAAUCACGUCCCGUCAAGCAAGUAGCAUUGGGAUGUUGCCAAUCCACCGAUGCAUCGGCCAAAGCAACACAGGCCGAAUUAUCUGCAUGAAUGACUUCCACUUCAUCAUCAACCCAUUGGAUCAGAAACUGGUGCAUAGUGGAUGGUACGCACUGGUUUGCAUGAACCCAAUCACGGCCUAGUAUGACGUUGUAGUUACCUUGCACCUCAGCGACAAAGAAUGCAGUAGCCAAAGUUUUGCUUCCGACUGUAAGCCCCACAUACAUUACACCUUUGGCUUCAGUUUUCUCUUUGCCUUCAAACCCGUUGAGCACCAUAUUGGUCUUGAUCAAUUCUUCAUCAGGCAAACCCAAUUUCUUGAAGACCGAAUAAGGCAUAAGAUUUACCACAGCACCACCAUCAACAAGCAUUCGACUAAGUGGUGAUCCAUUGAUAUGACCUCUGAGAUACAACGGUUUCAAAUGUGUUACUGGUUCUUUUGGCUUCUCGAAUAUUGCGUUUUUAGGGCCAAAAUCCAGCUGAGCCACUUCCCCUUCCUCAUCUACAGCACGAAACUCAGCAGGUAAGUAAUACACCAUAUUGAUAUCCAUACCUUCAUGAACCGGCGUAGAUUCAUAGUCCAACAUAUCAACCUCUUCUUCAAGUGGAUCGACCGAUUCUGAAAUCUGUCCGAGUGAAGGAGAGGUAAGAAGUGCCACAGACGAUGUAAUAGCUGUCGCAUCGUCCUCUUUGGGUGGUGUAGGCACUUCUGUGAUAGAUGUAGAAGCUGAUGUAUCUUGUAUUUGUUUUGGCCUCCACACUUGUUUUGCUAGAACCAUGGGCCGAGUGUCAUUGAACAACUUAUCCCUUUGCUUCUCGGCCUCCUGCCCCGCCAUCUCUUGACUCCUUAACCUCUGUAGUUUCCUCUUCUGUGUCUUUGUUAGCCUUGGAGGACACCACUUUGGUCGAGUGUAUUUAGCAUCUCUCACCUUUACUUGGCUGGUGCUUGCUUCAUGGUCAUUAGCCGAGUGCUUUGGCGCGAUAGAAAGUAUCGGCUCAGUUGAGUGAUUAUGCACAGUCGGCUGAUGUAUGGGGAAUGUUUCGGUGCCCAAGAUAAGUGAGUCGACAUCCAUUUUCUCCUUGCCUUUGCCCGACUCAACUGCUGCAACACUUGGUGACUUAACACGCCAUUCCUUUUGAUUUUCCAGAUGCAUGAAAUUUCCACUCGGGCGCACCUUUUUACUUGCAUGGAAUCCACUCGGAUUGAUGUCAUUCGGAUGGUAUCCACUCGGAUGGAACUCACUCGGAUGAGAUCUACCCAUCCACAUUUUUUCACUCGGAUAGCUUUCACCUGGGUGCAUUCUUACACUAGGAUAGUUUCCACUCGGUCGCAUAUUUUGACCAGCCGACUGAUAGCCACCGAUGUUCAGUCGGCCAUUAUAUGAGUAACCAAGUCGAUCCCACACAGAUUGCCUCUGCUCUUCUAAAAACUGCGCCCUUGGUCCACUCGGUUUCAUAUACUGACUGAACAUAUCAUCUGAUGGUGACCUUGGUCGUUUCAGAUGAGUCGGUCGAUUGAAACUAGAACCGGCCGACUGGUUAGCAUACUUGGACAACAACAUAUCAAAAGUUGGCUUGAUCCGCCUGCGCUGCACUUCAACUUCAUUCUUCUUCCACUUGCCAACUUCUGGACUCUUGGGCUUGACAAAUUUAACACGAGUAUUUUCUUGCACUUGCGGUUGCCCCCCAAGUGUAGGAUUCUUGAUGGUGAUUUUGAUCACUUCCUUGCCACCGGGUUGCUUAUCAAGCACAACCUGUCUCCCCAAGACCUUGUCGCCCUCCUUGUCUUUCCUGGGCUCACCAACAAUGACAUUAGCUUUAUUAGCAUAUUGGCUACCUCCGGCCGAAUGAGCAGCUUCUUCCCCUCCAAAUCCAUGGUAUUCAUUGGAAAAGGUUGUUUAUCAACUUGCAUCUCAGAAAAGUUCAAUCGUCCAUCAUUAAUGGCCGAUUGUAUCUGUCGUCGAAAAACAUUGCAAUUGUUAGUAGCAUGAGAAAAGGAGUUAUGAUACUUGCAAUAAGCAUGCCGUUUCAGCUCUUCAAACGGCGGUAAAGUAUGAGAUAUUCUAAUAAUCUUAGCCUGCAGCAAAGCAUCAAAUAUUCUAUCACACUUAGCAAUGUUAAAAGUAAACUUCAUCUCUUCAUCACGAUUCUUAUGAAUCGGUUUCGGAUCAUUGCAAGUAAAGGGUUUGGCCUUAGAUGGCCAAACAAAUUCAGUAGCAAAAACAUCACCCUCAUCAUCCGAGUGAUCACUAUCAUAUUCCACCAUAUUCAUCUUUGGACGAUCGGUUUUGUAUCUAUGCACUUCUUUGAGAUCUUUGCUUCGGCUUUCCUGAGCCAAAGCCCUUUGUAAGACUUGGUUGAUAUUUAAGAACUCAUAGCCUUCUAGCUUUUCUCUAAUGGGAGUUCUCAAACCACUCAGCACUAGGUCUGCCAAGUCUCUCUCGGUUAUCACCAAACUAAAACACCGGUUUUUCGUUUCUCUGAAUCUUUUGACGUAAUCGGAGACCGAUUCAUCAUGCUUCUGUUUAACCGAUGUUAGAUGUGACAACUUGAAUUCAUUGUCGCCACUGUAAAAGUGAUCAUGAAAUUUCUGCUCUAGCUGCGACCAAACUCGAAUGGAACCAUGUGGUAAAGAAGAAAACCAUGAAAAUGCAGUACCAGUUAAUGAUAAAGGAAAUAAAUGCACUUUCAAUUCAUUCAAUGAGCCUGCCUCACCCAAUUGUGCUAAGUAUUGACUAACAUGCUCCCAUGUGGUUUUUCUGCCUUCUCCAUUAAACUUAACAAAAUCUGGAAUUUUAUAUCCUGGAGGGCACUGGAUGGCAUCAAAGUACUCGGGGUACGGCUUUUGGUAAAUCCGAUUCCGAGGUAACUCAACUCCAAAAUUCUCUCGAAGCAUCUUAGCCAUCUCCUCUCUAAGAUUAGCUAAACCAUCAUCCAUAGUGGACGAUGAAGCUUGUGGCAGUGGCAUAGGAGGAGUAGGGUUACUAGCUGUAGGUAUGAAUUGUGGCAGGUAUGUCGACCCAUAAUUUGCUAGUGGUCGAGUGGUUGUAGCUGUAGGUAAGGUUGAGUUCGGCGUUGCCACCGAACCUGGCAUGCUCAUAAUAGGAUUAAUGGGUGCAGCCACAAUCUGAUUUGUUUGGGUAGGAUAAUAAGUCAUCGGCACGGGAGGCGCCGAUGAGAUAGGUAAAGCCAGAUUAGGGUUUUGCACACUAGCAACUACACCAUCAUUACCACUAGUCGAUUGAGAUGUAUUCUUCUGAGCAUUAGUAUUUUCUAUGAAAGUUUGAUAGACUAGAUUGUUACCAUCAGCAAUACGACUUUCAAUCUCAGCCCACUGCUCGGGAGAAAAGGCAGUACUUACAGAGGGUUUAACCUGCUUGGCUUGCAAAGGAGGGAACUUGAUUUCUUUAAUCGGAGUGAUGUUGCCUUGGCGAUCCUUCUUGAACUUUGCAAGGAACUCCUGCAAGUCCUUCUCCUUGCGCGCCUUCUUGUACUCCUCAUAGAUUUGGCGAUGAUCGGCCGAUAUCUCAUCAAGACUGGGCUUAAUGAUGUUAUCGGCGUCUACCUCAGAUGGCUUGGGAAGAUCGGACAUGGUGGAUGAUGAUGAUUGAUCUUCGAUCCCCAGUGGAGUCGCCAAAAAGUGUGUUGACACACGAACACGUCACGUGUACCCUCGACGCCGGGGGUGAUGCACCGCAGCUCACGUCGAAGGAGACCCGACCGACAGCGCGAUACGCAAGACAGUCGACGGGUGCUUUUGCAGACCCGAAACCCCGCGCACCCGGGAGGGACCCCGUCAGGGAUUGCGGCGGCUAUGGGCUGCCCUAGGUCGAUUCGCUCGCCCCUAGAGCCUCGGGAUUCGCAGCUCUCAAACACGAAGAACAGCGAAGAACGAGAGAGAAAAACGGUGGAGAGAUAAAAAGUAGACAGGAAAAAGUAGUAUAUUGAUUUGUUCGAUUGUGUGUUGUUCAAUCGGCCGUCACCCCCAACAUAUAUAAGAGGCGGCUGGACUUCCCGUACAAGUAAAGGAUUCAUCUAGGCUUUCCUUACAAGAAAAAUUACAUCACUUCGCGUCCUAGAGUCCUAGUUCUAUUCCAACUCGGAUCCAGUCUGAAUCUGGCCCAACUUCUGUCUUCCUCCUUGUGCAGGCCGCCGAGCCUCCAUAUGACCUCCGAUCAAGAUGGCCCAAAUAUCAAACUUGUGCGCCUCGACGAUACGAACAACUCUCAUGUUGAUCACUUUUUUAAAUAAGGCCAUCUUGAGUACUUUUCGAGGUCAUCUUUACCUUCCAGUCGGACUCGGUCUUGCGGUAGACUGAAUUAUCCGAGUCUUGUAGUGAAUUUGCAGGCCAUAUACAAUCUCUGAUGACGAUGACUCCAAAAGCAAAGUUUACCGUCUUGACGAUACGCACAACUUCUGUAUUGAACACUUCUUCAUCCGAGAUCAUCUUGAUAAACUUUUGGGCACAUGUUCAGUUUCACUCGGAUUUGAGCUCAUCCACUCGGAU